rnacentral:lncRNA from 1 species
UGUUGCAGCUCGUGAGUGACCUGCUAGAAUUCUGCUUCUACACCUUCCGAGAAUCCCAGGCUCUGAAGGUGGAGUUUCCCGCCAUGCUGGUGGAGAUCAUCACCGACCAGCUGCCAAAGGUGGAGUCUGGGAAUGCCAAACCCCUUUACUUUCACAGAAAGUGACGGGAGAUACCGGCCAGGAAGAACUUCGCCUUAAGUUUCCCCACGUGGUUCUAUGCCUACGAAGGACCCAAGAAAUCACAUUUUUAACAUGUGAUGGCUGAUUGACAGUUGGUCGGCAGUUUCUCAAGUUUAAAAAUCACGUCAAGGGUCUGGAGCCGGGAAAGCCAUGAGACGUGGAUUUGGCAAGGCCUGAGCUGGCUAAAGGACUCUUCCCUCUCCACUCCCAGCGCUUAGAAAACAUGUUCCCGUUCCUCUGGAUGAAAAGCCAUAUCUAGUCAAUAACUCUGAUUUUGAUAUUUUAACAGGUGGAAGUUUUAACUAUGCCAUGUGGUUUCUGGUAUCUCUCGCUUGUUUUCAAAGGGUUCAAAGGACUAGAGAACUUUUUAAAGCUUACCCUUGGUUUGCACAUAAAAACGUCUAGUCAAUAUGGGGCAUUACUAUUCUUUUGUUAUUUAAAAACACACAAACACAUACACAAAAUGCAUACAGAUCCCUGGUAUGUAAUAACAGAACACGUGGCGUGGAACUGUGGCCUACCGGGCACGUUUUUUCUGCAUCGCUGGCAUACGCACUCGUUAGUGUCCAUUUAUUAUUUAAUUAGAAUGGAUAAGAUGUUAAAUGCCUUGGUUUCAAAUUUCUAGUAUCUAUUGUGUUGGCUUUACAAAUAAUUUUUUGCAGUCUUUUUGCUGUGCUGUAUAUUACUGUAUGUAUAAAUUGUGAAGGACCUGAAACAAGGUGUAAGGAGCUUUUGUAAAUGAAACACAUUAGAAAAAAGUCUUUAAUGGUUAAUAGGUUGAAUGGGAAAGUAUUUUUGAAAGAAUUCUAUUUUGCUGGAGACUAUUUAAGUACUAUCUUUGUCUAAACAAGGUAAAAUUUUCUUUUGUAACGUGAGAUGCUCUGCAUGCGUACUGACCGUUUACAGUGUAUUUAAGAGAGACAAAGCUGUGCCUUUUUUUAGCUUCAUAUCUAAUUUACCAUUUUACAGUCUGUUGUAAAUAACCACACUUAGACCUCUUCGGUUGUCUCUAAGCCUUUCUACUUUUUCAGUACUAUUUGUUUUGUUCUUGGUCUCCCGCGUGGGAAGUGUUCGUGAGACUCUAGUGCGCAGCUCUGGCUUCUGCUUCUUCCCGCUUCCAUCCGGGAUGCUGCUGCAGUGUCUGCAGCUCCUGGCAGGUGACAGGAACCACUGGUCCUGAGAGUGCUGUCCUCCCCCCUCUGUCACAAGAAGCAGAGCCUGCUCUCUCAGAAAGGGAGACUGGAAACAUGGCCCAGAGAGCACAAUUCUCCCAUUUCCAGAAAAUCUGAUUUUCUCCUCUUGGGGAAAAUAUUCCAUGCACCCUCCACACCUGUCAAAGAUCAGAAAGCCGCCUCUAGCCUUGGACAGGGUCCUUCACUCCUGGAGCCGGUCAUGGGGACAGCAAAUAUGGCAGGAGGUACAGGCAACUCAUCUGGGUAUGAGUCAGACAGAAUGGCGUGGAGACCCACAGAUCACUAGAAGGUUUUUAGAUUUUUUAAAGGUAGGUUUUAAAAAUGAAAAUUUUAUACAUAAACAGUUUUGGAGGAAAAAAACCACAAAAACACUACGAAUCAUGUAAGCAAGACAGUGGCACUAAAAUUUUAAUUCAUUAAUCUGUCCAAUACUGAUGCGAUUUAUGGCUUUUUUCUUGCCCCAAAUCACAGACAUGUGUAUCUCUGGGGAACUUCGGUAUGAUUGCACUAAAUGAUCUCUGAAUAGAGGCCAAAUUAAUCUUUCAAACAUGGUGAUGCCUCUCAUCACGAAUUCCCAAAACCUAAAAGCUGACGCAGAAGGCUGGGGCAAGGCUUGAGUGGGUCAGCGGUUUCCCACAGGGUUCACCAUGCAGGCAACAUUACCGUGUCUCUCAAACGACGCCUGCCUUCUGCAAGGGGAGACCCAGGGACGCUGAACUCAAAGGGUGGGGGCUUUCUUACAUCAUUUGCAACUUCAAGGAUUUAAUUUAUAGGCAGAUCUUUAAACACAGUCAACUUACACGCACAGCAAUAUGAAAACCAUACUUCGAAGGCGAUAAACACAUACAGCAUGCAGACGAGGUGUUUCUGGGGGAAAGGGGCUGAGUUAACGCUGUGAAACUGGAUUUCCAUCUUAGCCAGGAUUGAGGUGGAGAAGGUCUACAUUAGCUUUUUGUAUUAAUGAAGUUACUGGCUCCUCAUGUGUCUCCGGGUAACUCUGCUUAACUAAACAGCAAAGCCAUAUUCUCUAAAUUCACUGUUGAAUGCCUGUCCCGGGCCAAACUGUCUGCUCUUAUUUUUGUACCAUAUUGCUCUUAAAAAUCUUGGUUUGGUACAAUUCAUAAUUCACCAAAACUCCUUCAAAUAAUUAUAACACUAAAUUAGUUUAAAAUGAAGCAAUUUAUAUCUUUAUGCAAAAACAUGUCUGUCUUUGCAAAGGAUUGUAAACAGAUUACAAUAAAUCCUUUACUUUAAUC